CGACGUGAGCAGCCUGGCUAUAANAGGGGAAUAACAGUUAGAAAUGACUGCUAAUACCGCAUAAGCUGAUAAAGUCGCAUGAUUUAGUCAGAAAAGGAGCAAUCCGCUUAUAGAUGGGCUCGCGUCCGAUUAGCUAGUUGGUGGGGUAGAAGCCUACCAAGGCGACGAUCGGUAGCCGGACUGAGAGGUUGAACGGCCACAUUGGGACUGAGAUACGGCCCAGACUCCUACGGAAGGCAGCAG
rnacentral:rRNA from 1 species